GGGCUAGGAGUAUAGUGGUUAGAGAGCUGGGCUUCCAACCCAGAGGUGGUGGGCUCAACUCCCAGGUAGACCA